rnacentral:rRNA from 1 species
AUUUUGGAGAGUUUGAUCCUGGCUCAGGACGAACGCUGGCGGCGUGCCUAAUACAUGCAAGUCGAGCGAAGUUUAAGAGAUGCUUGCAUCACUUGAACUUAGCGGCGAACGGGUGAGUAACACGUAAAGAACCUGCCUCAUAGACUGGGACAACUACUGGAAACGGUAGCUAAUACCGGAUAAUAUAUUUCUUUGCAUGAAGGAAUAUGUUGGCAGGAUG